UACGUAGGGGGCAAGCGUUGUCCGGAUUUAUUGGGCGUAAAGAGCGUGUAGGCGGUUAGGUAGGUCCGUUGUGAAAAACUCGAGGCUCAACCUCGAGACGCCGAUGGAAACCAUCUAACUAGAGUCCGGAAGAGGAGAGUGGAAUUCCUGGUGUAGCAGUGAAAUGCGCAGAUAUCAGGAAGAACACCCGUGGCUAAGGCGGCUCUCUAGUACGGUACUGACGCUGAGACGCGAAAGCGUGGGGAGCGAACAGG
rnacentral:rRNA from 1 species